GAUGAACGCUAGCUACAGGCUUAACACAUGCAAGUCGAGGGGCAGCAUGGUCUUAGCUUGCUAAGGCCGAUGGCGACCGGCGCACGGGUGAGUAACACGUAUCCAACCUGCCGUCUACUCUUGGACAGCCUUCUGAAAGGAAGAUUAAUACAGGAUGGCAUCAUGAGUCCGCAUGUUCACAUGAUUAAAGGUAUUCCGGUAGACGAUGGGGAUGCGUUCCAUUAGAUAGUAGGCGGGGUAACGGCCCACCUAGUCUUCGAUGGAUAGGGGUUCUGAGAGGAAGGUCCCCCACAUUGGAACUGAGACACGGUCCAAACUCCUACGGGAGGCAGCAGUGAGGAAUAUUGGUCAAUGGGCGAGAGCCUGAACCAGCCAAGUAGCGUGAAGGAUGACUGCCCUAUGGGUUGUAAACUUCUUUUAUAAAGGAAUAAAGUCGGGUAUGGAUACCCGUUUGUAUGUACUUUAUGAAUAAGGAUCGGC
rnacentral:rRNA from 1 species